UGGGGAAUCUUGGACAAUGGGGGCAACCCUGAUCCAGCCAUGCCGCGUGAGUGAUGAAGGCCUUAGGGUCGUAAAGCUCUUUCGCCUGUGAAGAUAAUGACGGUAGCAGGUAAAGAAACCCCGGCUAACUCCGUGCCAGCAGCCGCGGUAAUACGGAGGGGGUUAGCGUUGUUCGGAAUUACUGGGCGUAAAGCGCACGUAGGCGGACCAGAAAGUUGGGGGUGAAAUCCCGGGGGCUCAACCCCGGAACUGCCUCCAAAACUAUUGGUCUAGAGUUCGAGAGAGGUGAGUGGAAUUCCAAGUGUAGAGGUGAAAUUCGUAGAUAUUUGGAGGAACACCAGUGGCGAAGGCGGCUCACUGGCUCGAUACUGACGCUGAGGUGCGAAAGUGUGGGGAGCAAACAGGAUUAGAUACCCUGGUAGUCCACACCGUAAACGAUGAAUGCCAGUCGUCGGGUAGCAUGCUAUUCGGUGACACACCUAA
rnacentral:rRNA from 1 species